rnacentral:rRNA from 1 species
UUGAAAUCUGGUACCUUCGGUGCCCGAGUUGUAAUUUGUAGAAGGUAACUUUGGGGCUGGUCCUUGUCUAUGUUCCUUGGAACAGGACGUCAUAGAGGGUGAGAAUCCCGUGUGGCGAGGAUCCCAGUUCUAUGUAAAGUGCUUUCGAAGAGUCGAGUUGUUUGGGAAUGCAGCUCUAAGUGGGUGGUAAAUUCCAUCUAAAGCUAAAUAUUGGCGAGAGACCGAUAGCGAACAAGUACAGUGAUGGAAAGAUGAAAAGAACUUUGAAAAGAGAGUGAAAAAGUACGUGAAAUUGUUGAAAGGGAAGGGCAUUUGAUCAGACAUGGUGUUUUGCGCCCUCUGCUCCUCGUGGGUGGGGGAAUCUCGCAGCUCACUGGGCCAGCAUCAGUUUUGGCGGUAGGAUAAAUCUGCAGGAAUGUAGCUUGCUUCGGCAAGUGUUAUAGCCUGUUGAAAUACUGCCAGCCGGGACUGAGGACUG